CUCCACCGAAAGAAAAAGAGUGGCGAACGGGUGAGUAACACGUGGGUAACCUGCCCAUCAGAAGGGGAUAACACUUGGAAACAGGUGCUAAUACCGUAUAACACUAUUUUCCGCAUGGAAGAAAGUUGAAAGGCGCUUUUGCGUCACUGAUGGAUGGACCCGCGGUGCAUUAGCUAGUUGGUGAGGUAACGGCUCACCAAGGCCACGAUGCAUAGCCGACCUGAGAGGGUGAUCGGCCACACUGGGACUGAGACACGGCCCAGACUCCUACGGGAGGCAGCAGUAGGGAAUCUUCGGCAAUGGACGAAAGUCUGACCGAGCAACGCCGCGUGAGUGAAGAAGGUUUUCGGAUCGUAAAACUCUGUUGUUAGAGAAGAACAAGGAUGAGAGUAGAACGUUCAUCCCUUGACGGUAUCUAACCAGAAAGCCACGGCUAACUACGUGCCAGCAGCCGCGGUAAUACGUAGGUGGCAAGCGUUGUCCGGAUUUAUUGGGCGUAAAGCGAGCGCAGGCGGUUUCUUAAGUCUGAUGUGAAAGCCCCCGGCUCAACCGGGGAGGGUCAUUGGAAACUGGGAGACUUGAGUGCAGAAGAGGAGAGUGGAAUUCCAUGUGUAGCGGUGAAAUGCGUAGAUAUAUGGAGGAACACCAGUGGCGAAGGCGGCUCUCUGGUCUGUAACUGACGCUGAGGCUCGAAAGCGUGGGGAGCGAACAGGAUUAGAUACCCUGGUAGUCCACGCCGUAAACGAUGAGUGCUAAGUGUUGGAGGGUUUCCGCCCUUCAGUGCUGCAGCAAACGCAUUAAGCACUCCGCCUGGGGAGUACGACCGCAAGGUUGAAACUCAA
rnacentral:rRNA from 1 species